rnacentral:rRNA from 1 species
GACGAACGCUGGCGGCGUGCUUAACACAUGCAAGUCGAACGGAAAGGCCCUGCUUUUGUGGGGUGCUCGAGUGGCGAACGGGUGAGUAACACGUGAGUAACCUGCCCUUGACUUUGGGAUAACUUCAGGAAACUGGGGCUAAUAACGGAUAGGAGCUCCUGCUGCAUGGUGGGGGUUGGAAAGUUUCGGCGGUUGGGGAUGGACUCGCGGCUUAUCAGCUUGUUGGUGGGGUAGUGGAUUACCAAGGCUUUGACGGGUAGCCGGCCUGAGAGGGUGACCGGCCACAUUGGGACUGAGAUACGGCCCAGACUCCUACGGGAGGCAGCAGUGGGGAAUAUUGCACAAUGGGCGGAAGCCUGAUGCAGCAACGCCGCGUGCGGGAUGACGGCCUUCGGGCUGUAAACCGCUUUCGCCUGUGACGAAGCGUGAGUGACGGUAAUGGGUAAAGAAGCACCGGCUAACUACGUG